GAUGAACGCUGGCGGCGUGCCUAAUACAUGCCAGUCGAGCGAACAGAUGAGGAGCUUGCUCCUCUGACGUUAGCGGCGGACGGGUGAGUAACACGUGGAUAACCUACCUAUAAGACUGGGAUAACUUCGGGAAACCGGAGCUAAUACCGGAUAAUAUAUUGAACCGCAUGGUUCAAUAGUGAAAGACGGUUUUGCUGUCACUUAUAGAUGGAUCCGCGCCGCAUUAGCUAGUUGGUAAGGUAACGGCUUACCAAGGCAACGAUGCGUAGCCGACCUGAGAGGGUGAUCGGCCACACUGGAACUGAGACACGAUCCAGACUCCUACGGGAGGCAGCAGUAGGGAAUCUUCCGCAAUGGGCGAAAGCCUGACGGAGCAACGCCGCGUGAGUGAUGAAGGUCUUCGGAUCGUAAAACUCUGUUAUUAGGGAAGAACAAAUGUGUAAGUAACUAUGCACGUCUUGACGGUACCUAAUCAGAAAGCCACGGCUAACUACGUG
rnacentral:rRNA from 1 species